UACGGAGGGUGCAAGCGUUAAUCGGAAUUACUGGGCGUAAAGCGCGCGUAGGUGGUUUGAUAAGCGAGAUGUGAAAGCCCCGGGCUCAACCUGGGAACGGCAUUUCGAACUGUCAGGCUAGAGUAUGGUAGAGGAGUGUGGAAUUUCCUGUGUAGCGGUGAAAUGCGUAGAUAUAGGAAGGAACACCAGUGGCGAAGGCGGCACUCUGGACCAAUACUGACACUGAGGUGCGAAAGCGUGGGGAGCUAA
rnacentral:rRNA from 1 species